UUAAGCGACUAAGCGUACACGGUGGAUGCCCUGGCAGUCAGAGGCGAUGAAGGACGUGCUAAUCUGCGAUAAGCGUCGGUAAGGUGAUAUGAACCGUUAUAACCGGCGAUUUCCGAAUGGGGAAACCCAGUGUGAUUCGUCACACUAUCAUUAACUGAAUCCAUAGGUUAAUGAGGCGAACCGGGGGAACUGAAACAUCUAAGUACCCCGAGGAAAAGAAAUCAACCGAGAUUCCCCCAGUAGCGGCGAGCGAACGGGGAGGAGCCCAGAGCCUGAAUCAGUGUGUGUGUUAGUGGAAGCGUCUGGAAAGGCGCGCGAUACAGGGUGACAGCCCCGUACACAAAAAUGCACAUACUGUGAGCUCGAUGAGUAGGGCGGGACACGUGGUAUCCUGUCUGAAUAUGGGGGGACCAUCCUCCAAGGCUAAAUACUCCUGACUGACCGAUAGUGAACCAGUACCGUGAGGGAAAGGCGAAAAGAACCCCGGCGAGGGGAGUGAAAAAGAACCUGAAACCGUGUACGUACAAGCAGUGGGAGCCUCUUUAUGGGGUGACUGCGUACCUUUUGUAUAAUGGGUCAGCGACUUAUAUUCUGUAGCAAGGUUAACCGAAUAGGGGAGCCGAAGGGAAACCGAGUCUUAACUGGGCGUUAAGUUGCAGGGUAUAGACCCGAAACCCGGUGAUCUAGCCAUGGGCAGGUUGAAGGUUGGGUAACACUAACUGGAGGACCGAACCGACUAAUGUUGAAAAAUUAGCGGAUGACUUGUGGCUGGGGGUGAAAGGCCAAUCAAACCGGGAGAUAGCUGGUUCUCCCCGAAAGCUAUUUAGGUAGCGCCUCGUGAAUUCAUCUCCGGGGGUAGAGCACUGUUUCGGCAAGGGGGUCAUCCCGACUUACCAACCCGAUGCAAACUGCGAAUACCGGAGAAUGUUAUCACGGGAGACACACGGCGGGUGCUAACGUCCGUCGUGAAGAGGGAAACAACCCAGACCGCCAGCUAAGGUCCCAAAGUCAUGGUUAAGUGGGAAACGAUGUGGGAAGGCCCAGACAGCCAGGAUGUUGGCUUAGAAGCAGCCAUCAUUUAAAGAAAGCGUAAUAGCUCACUGGUCGAGUCGGCCUGCGCGGAAGAUGUAACGGGGCUAAACCAUGCACCGAAGCUGCGGCAGCGACGCUUAUGCGUUGUUGGGUAGGGGAGCGUUCUGUAAGCCUGCGAAGGUGUACUGUGAGGUAUGCUGGAGGUAUCAGAAGUGCGAAUGCUGACAUAAGUAACGAUAAAGCGGGUGAAAAGCCCGCUCGCCGGAAGACCAAGGGUUCCUGUCCAACGUUAAUCGGGGCAGGGUGAGUCGACCCCUAAGGCGAGGCCGAAAGGCGUAGUCGAUGGGAAACAGGUUAAUAUUCCUGUACUUGGUGUUACUGCGAAGGGGGGACGGAGAAGGCUAUGUUGGCCGGGCGACGGUUGUCCCGGUUUAAGCGUGUAGGCUGGUUUUCCAGGCAAAUCCGGAAAAUCAAGGCUGAGGCGUGAUGACGAGGCACUACGGUGCUGAAGCAACAAAUGCCCUGCUUCCAGGAAAAGCCUCUAAGCAUCAGGUAACAUCAAAUCGUACCCCAAACCGACACAGGUGGUCAGGUAGAGAAUACCAAGGCGCUUGAGAGAACUCGGGUGAAGGAACUAGGCAAAAUGGUGCCGUAACUUCGGGAGAAGGCACGCUGAUAUGUAGGUGAAGUCCCUCGCGGAUGGAGCUGAAAUCAGUCGAAGAUACCAGCUGGCUGCAACUGUUUAUUAAAAACACAGCACUGUGCAAACACGAAAGUGGACGUAUACGGUGUGACGCCUGCCCGGUGCCGGAAGGUUAAUUGAUGGGGUUAGCGGUAACGCGAAGCUCUUGAUCGAAGCCCCGGUAAACGGCGGCCGUAACUAUAACGGUCCUAAGGUAGCGAAAUUCCUUGUCGGGUAAGUUCCGACCUGCACGAAUGGCGUAAUGAUGGCCAGGCUGUCUCCACCCGAGACUCAGUGAAAUUGAACUCGCUGUGAAGAUGCAGUGUACCCGCGGCAAGACGGAAAGACCCCGUGAACCUUUACUAUAGCUUGACACUGAACAUUGAGCCUUGAUGUGUAGGAUAGGUGGGAGGCUUUGAAGUGUGGACGCCAGUCUGCAUGGAGCCGACCUUGAAAUACCACCCUUUAAUGUUUGAUGUUCUAACGUUGGCCCCUAAUCGGGGUUGCGGACAGUGUCUGGUGGGUAGUUUGACUGGGGCGGUCUCCUCCUAAAGAGUAACGGAGGAGCACGAAGGUUGGCUAAUCCUGGUCGGACAUCAGGAGGUUAGUGCAAUGGCAUAAGCCAGCUUGACUGCGAGCGUGACGGCGCGAGCAGGUGCGAAAGCAGGUCAUAGUGAUCCGGUGGUUCUGAAUGGAAGGGCCAUCGCUCAACGGAUAAAAGGUACUCCGGGGAUAACAGGCUGAUACCGCCCAAGAGUUCAUAUCGACGGCGGUGUUUGGCACCUCGAUGUCGGCUCAUCACAUCCUGGGGCUGAAGUAGGUCCCAAGGGUAUGGCUGUUCGCCAUUUAAAGUGGUACGCGAGCUGGGUUUAGAACGUCGUGAGACAGUUCGGUCCCUAUCUGCCGUGGGCGCUGGAGAACUGAGGGGGGCUGCUCCUAGUACGAGAGGACCGGAGUGGACGCAUCACUGGUGUUCGGGUUGUCAUGCCAAUGGCACUGCCCGGUAGCUAAAUGCGGAAGAGAUAAGUGCUGAAAGCAUCUAAGCACGAAACUUGCCCCGAGAUGAGUUCUCCCUGACUCCCUGAGAGUCCUGAAGGAACGUUGAAGACGACGACGUUGAUAGGCCGGGUGUGUAAGCGCAGCGAUGCGUUGAGCUAACCGGUACUAAUGAACCGUGAGGCUUAACCUU
rnacentral:rRNA from 1 species